rnacentral:rRNA from 1 species
AUUGAACGCUGGCGGCAUGCUUUACACAUGCAAGACGAACGGUAGCAGGCCGCAAGGUGCUGACGAGUGGCGCACGGGUGAGUAAUGCAUCGGAACGUGCCCAGUCGUGGGGGAUAACUACUCGAAAGAGUAGCUAAUACCGCAUACGAUCUAUGGAUGAAAGCGGGGGACCGUAAGGCCUCGCGCGAUUGGAGCGGCCGAUGUCAGAUUAGGUAGUUGGUGGGGUAAAGGCUCACCAAGCCAACGAUCUGUAGCUGGUCUGAGAGGACGACCAGCCACACUGGGACUGAGACACGGCCCAGACUCCUACGGGAGGCAGCAGUGGGGAAUUUUGGACAAUGGGCGCAAGCCUGAUCCAGCAAUGCCGCGUGCAGGAAGAAGGCCUUCGGGUUGUAAACUGCUUUUGUACGGAACGAAACGGCUCUGGUUAAUACCCGGGGCUAAUGACGGUACCGUAAGAAUAAGCACCGGCUAACUACGUG